rnacentral:rRNA from 1 species
GACGAACCGAGCGAACGUUGUUCGGAAUCACUGGGCUUAAAGGGCGCGUAGGCGGGCAUUCAAGUCCGUGGUGAAAUCCGGCAGCUUAACUGUCGAAUUGCCAUGGAUACUGGGUGUCUCGAGGGAGGCAGGGGUGCGCGGAACUAAUGGUGGAGCGGUGAAAUGCGUUGAUAUCAUUAGGAACUCCGGUGGCGAAGGCGGCGCACUGGUCCUUUUCUGACGCUGAGGCGCGAAAGCCAGGGGAGCAAACGGG